rnacentral:rRNA from 1 species
UACAGAGGGUGCAAGCGUUAAUCGGAAUUACUGGGCGUAAAGCGUGCGUAGUCGGUUAUCUAAGUCGGGUGUGAAAUCCCCGGGCUCAACCUGGGAAUGGCGAUGAAGACUGCAAGGCUAGAGUUUGGCAGAGGGGGGUAGAAUUCCACGUGUAGCAGUGAAAUGCGUAGAUAUGCGGAGGAACACCGAUGGCGAAGGCAAUCCCCUGGGCCUGCACUGACGCUCAUGCACGAAAGCGUGGGGAGCAAACAGG